rnacentral:tRNA from 1 species
GGGGAUUUAGCUCAGUGGUAGAGCGCUUGCCUAGGAAGCGCAAGGCCCUGGGUUCAGUUCCCAGCUCUA